ensembl:lncRNA
CCGGCUUGGGAUCGAAUGCUUUUCGAAAUCGUGACCGUUUUACAUUUCCAAAAGCCAGCUUGAAUAGUGCUUCGGCGCUGUCUGGAAUGUCGUGUGCACAAGCGAAAUGCCAUAGAUAUGAGGCUAUCAGAUUGGGACAGGAGUGGCCAUGUCUGUUAGCGGAGGUCUGAGGAGGUUUGAGCCAAUACAAGGUUUCAGACCUUUAGCUAUGAAGUGCCUGUUUCAGCUUGGUAGACCAUUUAAAGGGAAGUGCGACAAUUUAAAUGAAAAACAAACAGGGAUUCUGCAUUUUACAUAUUAACCGUAAGAGUUGAAUAAUCAAAUAGUGAAGUCUGUGUUUGGCAUCAAUUAGUAAAACUAGAGGAAGUAGCUCUAAGGGUAGUAUGGCCCUUUUCAUUAUUUGGUAGUUGUGGAUCCAGAAUGGAUGACAUUGUCACAUUAUCACAUUGUUGAGCUGUAGGCAAAGAGACGUGUUAAUUACUGAUUGAUUACUAGCUAUUUGUAACGUAUUAAUUACUGAUUGAGUACUUGCACUGCAAUUCUGAGGCCUCAGGUGAACAGUUGCUAACCUCCACGCCUCCUAGCCUCUCCAGCCAGAGGGGCUGCAUCCAAGAAGCGGUCUGUGUGAGGGCCAAGUCCUCUAGAAUCAACAUGGCUGAUAUGUCUUGUCAGAUACGCUUCUGCACAUGAAUAAAACCAAAGUCCAAAUGUAUUUUAUGAUGAUGUGGGUUUUUUUUUUUUUCUUUCAGUGGCUUUGGGGAGGAUUUGGAUGGACUUCUACUAUUAUGGCCCUUAGUUCCUUUCUCUGUAAAGCUGACAAGUCGGCGUCGGCGUCGGCGUAUUGAAUUGUUGGCGGAGGCGCAGCUCCUCCACGCCGGAGCAUCACAUGCCGGUGGCGAGAGCGCCGUCAUAUCUUAAUACAUCCUCGGGCCUCGGCAAGGCAACACAGGAUGUUUUGGACCCCACUGGAAGGCUUAAAUUAGACACCAGGCAUUCUCAGCAUCUGUCAUGACACCCCCGGAACGCACCUCGUGGGCAUAUAACGGCCUGGACAAAUGUGUCUGUCUGCACUUACCUCCGGGUUCCCACAGAGCAACUCAACCCCCCAGCAGGCUCCCUCGGGCGGGCGGCCAUUUUAGACCCAGUGAACUUUCUCUCAGCGGACCGGCAUCUCUUACUAGGGGCACUUGUUUUCCGCCAGCAGAGUGGGAACGGGGGUUGUGUGUUAUGUAGACACGGACGUGGGGGAGAGUCUGGAUUGUGUACACAAUGUGUAUAAGUUAGAAGCCUUUCAUAUAGGCUUGGCACCGCAUGGGAAGCACGGAAGCACUGGCCGAGUGAAGCAUAAAUCUGCCAUAAUGCCCAGCAUAAAAUGGCGCAGCAGGCUCCUCUUUCAGAGUUACUACGACACGCGCUGACAAUGUUUUGUGUUUGGAUCAAAUACUGUUUUUUAUGGCUGAUACAACAGAUUACAUUUUCUUUGACAUGAGAUGUCCUUGUCCUGCCUUGUAACAUUACUUCCACCAUUAAAUGCUGCUUUAGAAAAGUGACUGUGGUUUGAAACGUGUUUUAAUUCUGACUUACAAUGACAAAAUGUGUGAAAGACUUUUCAUUUCGGAAAAGAUUUGUACCUUUUUAUUACACGCAGUGUAUAACAAAAGAAGAAAGAAGUCAAUUCCAAGCCUGUUUUUUUUUCUUCACAAUAAUGAAUGUACUUGUGAACUGAGCUUACGGGAUUUCAUAAGGG